UCUCAUGUGGAAUUGUCGGCUGUCACCCGCCGACAUGAACGCGGAGUCCCUAAUAAUCUUGUGUCAUCGUCCCACGGAGAAUACUUCUCUGCUCCUUGCGCACACCGCGCGUCGCUCCUUACUAGUGUGGUAAAAAUGAUGCUUGGUCAAGUUGGUCAUAUCUGAGUUUCUAUCUAUGCAUAGGAGGGAGAAGUCGUACCAUGGUAACCGAUUACGAGGCGCAGCAGGCGCGAAACCUCCGCAAUACACGAAAGUGUGACGGGGUUACCCAAAGUGUUCAAUUUUGAACUGUGGUAGGUGAGUAAUGUUCCCUACUAGAAAGGAGAGGGCAAGGCUGGUGCCAGCCGCCGCGGUAAAACCAGCUCUUCAAGUGGUCGGGAUAAUUAUUGGGCUUAAAGUGUCCGUAGCCGGUUUAGUAAGUUCCUGGUAAAAUCGGGUAGCUUAACUAUCUAUAUGCU
rnacentral:rRNA from 1 species